rnacentral:lncRNA from 1 species
ACCAGAAGGAUGCUGGAGUAAAACAAACCAGAGCUUCUUCCCCCAAUCCCAGCGAGGUUCCUGACUCUGGGCAGGAAGGAGUGGCCUUUGCUCCUGGGGAAAGGAACUAAAGAGGAUUCUGGAGGACUCCAAGCUCUCACAGCCUCCGGGGCUCCUCUAGGGGGAAACGUGGUCAGAGCUUGGGGAAGACAAAUUGAAUUCUGCUCGUGCUGACCGGCUGCUGCCCCUCACCCCACAGCCCAGGAGCUACUUGCUGUAAGGCCACUGUGCAGAUGAGAGACCUUGGUCUCCACAGUGUUCAACCAUUCAGCCAAGACGCGGCCAGUGAGCUGUGGAGAAGGAACCCACAUCUGCCUGGAUCACGAUUCUUUCCACCACUGGGUAGAAGUUGAGAUGCUGACCUCAAGAUUAUUCCAUGGUCACUGUCCUGGCUAUGCAGACAGUGGUCAGUGGACAUCCCAGUCAUUUAAUACCAACUACUUGGCCCAGGGGGAAGCAGUCGCUUGUGGCCCUCAGGGGCGUCUUAUCUCAUGGGAGCAAGUGAGGAGCAUUGCCAACCUCUCCGUUACAAGUUAUUGGUUCCUCCAGGUGCAGAAACAUGGGCCAGUGGCUGAGGCCCGGCUCCACGAGGAAAUGUUGGGAGAAGGCAACACACAUGGAGGAGAAGCAAGGAGGCAGCCAUGGGUGUCCAUGCUGAAGGAAGACGCAAGUUCUUAG